rnacentral:rRNA from 1 species
CUCUUUUUCCGGUGCGCUACUACAUGCAAGUCGAGCGGACCUAUUGGAGCUUGCUCCAUUGGUUUAGCGGCGGACGGGUGAGUAACACGUGGGCAACCUGCCCUGCAGAUCGGGAUAACUCCGGGAAACCGGUGCUAAUACCGAAUAGUUUUUUGCCCCUCCUGGGGCGAAACGGAAAGACGGUUUCGGCUGUCACUGCAGGAUGGGCCCCCGGCGCAUUAGCUAGUUGGUGGGGUAAUGGCCCACCAAGGGGACGAUGCGUCGCCGACUUGAGAUGGUGAUCGGCCACACUGGGACUGAGACACGGCCCAGACUCCUACGGGAGGCAGCAGUAGGGAAUCUUCCGCAAUGGACGCAAGUCUGACGGAGCAACGCCGCGUGAGUGACGAAGGUUUUCGGAUCGUAAAACUCUGUUGUGAGGGAAGAACAAGUACCAAGUAACUACUGGUACCUUGACGGUACCUCACCAGAAAGCCACGGCUAACUACGUGCCAGCAGCCGCGGUAAUACGUAGGUGGCAAGCGUUGUCCGGAAUUAUUGGGCGUAAAGCGCGCGCAGGCGGUCCCUUAAGUCUGAUGUGAAAGCCCACGGCUCAACCGUGGAGGGUCAUUGGAAACUGGGGGACUUGAGUGCAGAAGAGGAAAGUGGAAUUCCACGUGUAGCGGUGAAAUGCGUAGAGAUG